rnacentral:snRNA from 1 species
AGAUGUGAGGGCGAUCUGGCUGUGACAUCUGUCGCCCCAGUGAUCGCCAGGGUGGAUUCGGAUGAUCUAGCUGGCUAGGCGGGUGUCCCCUUCCUCACCGUUCCAUGUGCAUCCCUCCAGAAGCUACGCUUUCAGUCGAAGAGGAUGGUCUUCCCUGAAUAGAGGUGGACCGGUCUUCGGUCAAGGGUGUAUGAGUAGCUGCACUCCCCUACCAGGUCCGCCAAACAAGCUUUCAUUUUAGGGUUUGAACCCAGAACCUCAGGCAUGAAAGUCAUUUUUCAAAACCAUUAUGCUCUCUCCCCACAAU